UACAGGGGGUGCAAACGUUGCUCGGAAUCAUUGGGCGUAAAGGGCGCGUAGGCGGCUAGAUGUGUCAAAGGUGAAAUCCCUCGGCUCAACUGAGGAACUGCCUUUGAAACUGUCUGGCUUGAGGCCGGGAGAGGGUAGCGGAAUUCCCAGUGUAGCGGUGAAAUGCGUAGAUAUUGGGAGGAACACCAGUGGCGAAGGCGGCUACCUGGACCGGUUCUGACGCUGAGGCGCGAAAGCCAGGGGAGCGAACGGG
rnacentral:rRNA from 1 species